rnacentral:misc_RNA from 1 species
AUGAAGAACGCAGCGAACUGCGAUAAGUAAUGUGAAUUGCAGAAUUCAGUGAAUCAUCGAGUCUUUGAACGCACAUUGCGCCCCCUGGCAUUCCGGGGGGCAUGCCUGUCCGAGCGUCAUUGCUGCCCUUCAAGCCCGGCUUGUGUGUUGGGUCGUCGUCCCCCCCGGGGGACGGGCCCGAAAGGCAGCGGCGGCACCGCGUCCGGUCCUCGAGCGUAUGGGGCUUUGUCACCCGCUCGAUUAGGGCCGGCCGGGCGCCAGCCGGCGUCUCCAACCUUCUAUUUUACCAGGUUGACCUCUGAUCAGGUAGGGAUACCCGCUGAACUUAAGCAUAUCAAUAAGCGGAGGA